rnacentral:misc_RNA from 1 species
UUUCCGUAGGUGAACCUGCGGAAGGAUCAUUACAAAUUAUGGCGAACUUCGCGUCUCGCGAGGUUUUGCGUCCAAACUUAUUUAAAACAUCCCACUCCUUAAAAAAAAAAAAUUAUCUAAUGAUAAAUAAAAAGAUCACUUUCAACAACGGAUCUCUUGGUUCUC